rnacentral:rRNA from 1 species
GCGGCAGACGGGUGAGUAACGCGUGGGAAUCUACCCAUCACUACGGAACAACUCCGGGAAACUGGAGCUAAUACCGUAUACGUCCUUCGGGAGAAAGAUUUAUCGGUGAUGGAUGAGCCCGCGUUGGAUUAGCUAGUUGGUGGGGUAAUGGCCUACCAAGGCGACGAUCCAUAGCUGGUCUGAGAGGAUGAUCAGCCACACUGGGACUGAGACACGGCCCAGACUCCUACGGGAGGCAGCAGUGGGGAAUAUUGGACAAUGGGCGAAAGCCUGAUCCAGCCAUGCCGCGUGAGUGAUGAAGGCCCUAGGGUUGUAAAGCUCUUUCAACGGUGAAGAUAAUGACGGUAACCGUAGAAGAAGCCCCGGCUAACUUCGUGCCAGCAGCCGCGGUAAUACGAAGGGGGCUAGCGUUGUUCGGAUUUACUGGGCGUAAAGCGCACGUAGGCGGACUAUUGAGUCAGGGGUGAAAUCCCGGGGCUCAACCCCGGAACUGCCU